rnacentral:rRNA from 1 species
GAUGAACGCUGGCGGCGUGCCUAAUACAUGCAAGUCGAGCGAACAGAUAAGGAGCUUGCUCCUUUGACGUUAGCGGCGGACGGGUGAGUAACACGUGGGUAAACUACCUAUAAGACUGGGAUAACUUCGGGAAACCGGAGCUAAUACCGGAUAACAUUUGGAACCGCAUGGUUCUAAAGUGAAAGAUGGUUUUGCUAUCACUUAUAGAUGGACCCGCGCCGUAUUAGCUAGUUGGUAAGGUAACGGCUUACCAAGGCGACGAUACGUAGCCGACCUGAGAGGGUGAUCGGCCACACUGGAACUGAGACACGGUCCAGACUCCUACGGGAGGCAGCAGUAGGGAAUCUUCCGCAAUGGGCGAAAGCCUGACGGAGCAACGCCGCGUGAGUGAUGAAGGGUUUCGGCUCGUAAAACUCUGUUAUUAGGGAAGAACAAAUGUGUAAGUAACUGUGCACGUCUUGACGGUACCUAAUCAGAAAGCCACGGCUAACUACGUG